rnacentral:rRNA from 1 species
NGGGUUCGAUUCUGGCUCAGGAUGAACGCUGGCGGCGUGCUUAACACAUGCAAGUCGAACGGGAUCCAUCGGGCUUUGCCUGUGGGUGAGAGUGGCGAACGGGUGAGUAAUGCGUGACCGACCUGCCCCAUGCUCCGGAAUAGCUCCUGGAAACGGGUGGUAAUGCCGGAUGUUCCACAUGAUCGCAUGUGAUUGUGGGAAAGAUUUCAUCGGCGUGGGAUGGGGUCGCGUCCUAUCAGCUUGUUGGUGAGGUAACGGCUCACCAAGGCUUCGACGGGUAGCCGGCCUGAGAGGGCGACCGGCCACAUUGGGACUGAGAUACGGCCCAGACUCCUACGGGAGGCAGCAGUGGGGAAUAUUGCACAAUGGGCGCAAGCCUGAUGCAGCGACGCCGCGUGAGGGAUGGAGGCCUUCGGGUUGUAAACCUCUUUUGUUUGGGAGCAAGCCUUCGGGUGAGUGUACCUUUCGAAUAAGCGCCGGCUAACUACGUGCCAGCAGCCGCGGUAAUACGUAGGGCGCAAGCGUUAUCCGGAUUUAUUGGGCGUAAAGGGCUCGUAGGCGGCUCGUCGCGUCCGGUGUGAAAGUCCAUCGCUUAACGGUGGAUCUGCGCCGGGUACGGGCGGGCUGGAGUGCGGUAGGGGAGACUGGAAUUCCCGGUGUAACGGUGGAAUGUGUAGAUAUCGGGAAGAACACCGAUGGCGAAGGCAGGUCUCUGGGCCGUCACUGACGCUGAGGAGCGAAAGCGUGGGGAGCGAACAGGAUUAGAUACCCUGGUAGUCCACGCCGUAAACGGUGGACGCUGGAUGUGGGGCACGUUCCACGUGUUCCGUGUCGGAGCUAACGCGUUAAGCGUCCCGCCUGGGGAGUACGACCGCAAGGCUAAAACUCAAAGAAAU